UAGGAUAUAAAAUGAAAAUAUUUGAAAAAUAUAGGAAACAAAAAAAACCUGUUUUGGGAGCAGGAGGUCGUAAGUUCGAAUCUUACUACCCCGA
rnacentral:tRNA from 1 species